UGAUUUUCAUUCGGCAUUUGAGGGCAAAGGGAUUAUUAAUCAAAAUGACAGGGGUGAAGAAAGCCUAUAAACCAUUAAGUUUACCAAGUUUAAUUCAUUUUUCUGUUGUUUUACCAGAGCUGAAGAACUGCUGAUAGAUUGAGUUCUAAAAUAGCGUGGAUUGAAUUAAGAGGACUUAUUAUCUAUAAAUGUAAGAAAUUAUGGAUCAGUUUAGUUCUUGUUAUGGUACAAAAUUAGUCACUGUUUUGGCCGCGCGAAUUGGUAUGUUUUCAAGGAAACAAUUUAUUUUGAGAAGUCGUAAGUUCAUAUGAAUAUGCGGAGAACCUGUAAAUUGGGACCAGAUUUUCCAGACAGCUAAAGCUUAGAUAGUAAUCGAAUCAUAUUCGGUAUUCUUCUUCCUUUUUCUUGUGUUUUUUUUUCUUUGAAAUUCGUACACUACCCACAGAACAAAAUUGACUGGGAAUUGGAAAAAUGUCUUCGCUCGACAAGAAGAAACCCUCCACCAGCCGGAUCAGAGGCAUCCGAACUCUUUCCGACCUCAACCGCCGUUCCGUCCACGAUUCCGAUGUACCCCAGGAGAACUAUACCGGCGGCGAGAAAAGCGGUAUGCUUGUCCAAGAUCCAUCCGAGGGCGAUGAUGUUGAUGCAAUUUUUGAUCAAGCUCGACAGUUGGGUGCUGUGCAAGGGCCCUUGCAAGAUAUUCGGCCAUCUUCAGGCUCAAAAGGCUUUACUGGGAGAGGAAGAUUGCUCACUGGUGAACCUGUACCCAAUCAGCAGCCUGAGUCAGUUGUACACAACAUUGUUUUCUGGAGAAAUGGUUUCACUGUCAAUGAUGGCCCUUUGAGGAGGCUGGAUGAUCCGGGAAAUGCUCCAUUCCUUGAGAGCAUCAGAAAAUCUGAGUGUCCUAAAGAGCUUGAACCUGCAGACAGGAGAUCCUCUGUUCAUGUCAAUCUCAUAAGGAGGGAAGAAAACUGCCCCGAACCAGAGAUACGCCAUGUUCCAUUUCAAGGAGUAGGCAGAACUCUUGGGGGUAGCUCCGCAACUGAAUCAGGUCCUGAGACAACCAUUGCUGCUCCCACCAACAGUGCUCCAUCUCCUUCUACGAGCCUUGUGGUGGAUGCAUCACUGCCAUCCACUACGAUUCAGCUUAGGAUGGCCGAUGGAACCCCCAUGGUUGCACACUUCAACCACCACCAUACGAUAGCUGAUAUCCGCUCCUUCAUUGAUGCAUCUAGGCCUGGGGGAUCUACAUCAUAUCAAUUGCAGUCUGUGGGAUUUCCUCCCAAGGUCCUUAGUGAUCUCACUCAGACAGUUCAGCAAGCUGGGCUGUUGAAUUCAGUGGUAAUUCAGAAACUAUAAGCAGCCACACAAAUUUCUACUAACUGUAGUGAUGGACAAUAUCAUUAUGUCUUUCUGCUUCAGACAAGUAUUCGCAGAAGAAAAUAUAAUUAUAUACUGAAGCUAAAUGAACAGAAGAUGCUCUGCUGGAAGUCUUGUGCUCCGGAAGGCAAUGGACCAUUCAUGAAUGGGUUGAUUCAAAGUUGAUCUUACUGAAAACCUGGCAUUCGGUCUUAAGCGCGGUGAGUUGUAUUGGUUCUAACUUCUAUGGAGGGCAAUGGACA